AUAGGAAAACCUGCCAAUGGAGAUUACGCACACUUUUUCUCAAGCCAUUUCCUUUGCCGAUUUCUCGGCAACAUUUGCUUGGCAAAUGAAGCUUACUUAUGGAGGAUCUUGAUUUGCCAGUGCGUAAACAUAACGGUGUGCGAGUGCGCCAGUGGGCGAGUGUGCCAGUGGGCAAGUGAGCGUCACACACACACGUGCGAGACAGGCUUAAUAUAACUUUGAGUGAAAAAAAAGAGCGUAAUUUGUGGCCUACAAUCGCCCGAGAUUUUGGAACUUUGUGGAGUGUAAUAUUUUGAGGCCAACUCGCUUCUGUCGGCCUCCUUCACGAAAUGCAAAUGUAUGGGCUCCAUUAUUAUCUGCCACACCUGAUAAGCAGAUAUAUUUUUGGAUUCCACGUUCGGAGUCCCUUCGAGCUCCUUUCUGUGGGAUACUUAGCGUCUGGGCGCGGCGUUUGUGUCAGUGGAUGGAUGACAAGUGCCCAAAUGUCGCCCAAAUGUCGCCCAAACAAAGGAGCAAUGCGGCACGAGGGCCGUUGUGGCUUUUCUCGGCGUCCACUGAGUGAUAACCAUCAAUCAAGCUGCUGCCGGUUAGACGGUAGGCGUUACACUGGUUUUUCCCGGAGAGAAGCGGAGUGUCCCGAGACCAAGAGACCGAGAGACCGAGCCGGAGUUCAUUUCAAUCAUUAGCGUGCCAAGUCAGCCAGCUCCUGUUGAUGCUGUCAAAUUAAUAAAGAGCCCAGGAUGACCAAGGGUUGGCCAACGGCAUGGAGCAAAAACCGAAAGAGGCAACAGACUACUACCCACCAGUGUAGGCCCACA